rnacentral:rRNA from 2 species
GAUCUUGGUUCAGGACGAACGCUGGCGGCGUGCCUAUUACUUGCAAGUCGAACGAACUCUGGUAUUGUUUGGUGCUUGCAUCUUGUUUUACUUUUGUGUGAGUGGCGAACUGGUGAGUAACACGUGGGAAACCUGCCCAGAAGCGGGGGAUAACACCUGGAAACAGAUGCUAAUACCGCAUAACAACUUGGACCGCAUGGUCCGAGUUUGAAAGAUGGCUUCGGCUUUCACUUUUGGAUGGUCCCGCGGCGUWUUAGCUAGAUGGUGGGGUAACGGCUCACCAUGGCAAUGAUACGUAGCCGACCUGAGAGGGUAAUCGGCCACAUUGGGACUGAGACACGGCCCAAACUCUACGGGAGGCAGCAGUAGGGAAUCUUCCACAAUGGACGAAAGUCUGAUGGAGCUACGCCGCGUGAGUGAAGAAGGGUUUCGGCUCGUAAUUCUCUGUUUUUAAGGAAGAAGAUUUCUGGUUUAAGUUUCAGGUUUG